ensembl:lncRNA
UCCCAGCCUUUUGCAAGCAAUGAGCUACUCCCACCUCUGCCCCUGCUGUUAAUGCACAAGUGAUGUGGUGGGGAACUUUUUUGACAAAAGAACACUCACUUUUCUCCAUCCUAUCAGCUGCUGCAAUUACUUAAUUCUAAUGCAAUCAGGGCUUUUUAAUGCAAUACCAUACCCUGUUACAUAUAUUUAAUAUAAAAUAAUGCCAUCAAAGUAGCUGGCAUUCUUAUUGAAAUAAAUCUUUUCUACCUUAUAUAAAGAACAUUUUAGAAAGUGUAAUCUUUUUUUUCUUUUUUUAUUUACUAACUGGUUUUUUUAACUUAUUUGACAUUUAUUUAUUAAGGAAAGAAUAUAUAGUUCAGUUAGGGUGGCUGUGUUUCUAUGGCUCUCUCUAGUACUGAUGUAAGAUACAAUUGAGAAAGUAUAUUUCUUCAAGAAAGAUUUUCUACAUAUAUAUUUUACACCCAUAUCUAUAAUUCAGUCUUCAAGCCCAGUAGUUUAAAUAGUUUUCUGUUGUUUAAAUCUUUAUACAGUAGCACUACUUUCCUAUUCCUAUGAAUUCUUUUUAAUUAUUAAUCUCAAGAAAAACUGAUAACUACUAGCCCACCAUAAUGCAGUCCUUUCAUCUUAAAAUAGUGUGGAAGAGGUAAUACACCACUCUUGAAAAUCUUUCUUUAAUCUUCUCUUCUAUUAGAAUACAGGGCUAUGAAGAUUUAUCACAGUUCCAUAGAUUUCAAAGGACAACCAUGGCUUUGUGUUGUCAAUCCAUAGGACCGUAAAGAUUCUGUUUUGUCAGAGCUAGAUUGCACUUCUAAAGUGGAAUGAGGAAACUGACUUGCAGCAGUACAUAUAUCUUAUUAUUCAAUUAUCAUAUCAGGCAAGCAAAGCCUUAGUUCUAAUUUUUCUCAUUGCUGAUUUUAAGUAAGAAUUAUUUUCAAAAACAUAAGUAGUUCAGUUUUGAUUUCAUGCUGCUAAAGUAUAUCUUUUUUUCCCUCUUAAAACCCAUUGUAUCUUUACAAAAUAUCUGUGCAUUCGGUUGUAUAUGUUCACUUCAAUUAACUCCUUUUUUUUACUACAAGAAAAAACACAGAAAAACUACCCAAAUCUCUUGUGCUUUAUGCUAAUGUUCACUUAUCUGACCUACUUUUAUUCCAUUGAUAUUUCUGUAUUUCUGUAGAUUAUCAUAACUAGGUUUUUUGAUUGUUUGUUUGUUUUGGUUUUUAUUUUUUCUUCUUUUAGGCAGCCAUGGGUAUGGAGUAAUGAUAACAAAAAGAUAGCCUCCAGAUACUCAUCACAUGCCAACAGGAUUACGGUAAUUAUUUAGCUAUUUUAUUACAAAAAUUACACUUUGUUGAAUCAAUAAUUAUUGUUUUUCAGUUUCAUGUUUACUUGUGUCUAACAAAAGAUGCCCUUUAAACAAAGAAAAAAUAACCAAACAAAAAUACCACAAAUCAAUAGUACACAUCAUGCCAAAGAUACUUUUAAAAAUGACUGAAGGAAAAGAAAUCAAGUGUUAGCACCUGAGGAAAGAUUGCCCGCAUAAAUAAGCUUAGGUGAGAUGUAAGCUUCUUUCAAAGACGAGUUAUUUGCCGGGGAUGACUAAGCUCAUACAGUGUCAGGUAGCAUGAAGAUUGCUUCUGUUUGGAAUUCCCCAUGUGAUCCACAAAACAACAGAUCCCUGUAAGAACAACAGCUGAAUUAUCUGGCUCUGCUCCUGAUACAAAUACAUUUAUUGCUGUUGAUCCAAGGCUUACAGAAAUAUUACUCCAAUACCUUCAAGCGACAGAUUUCUUGGGAAAAAAAAAGCCAAGUAAUUCAACCCAGAGACAGCAAAGACAGAUAAUGUCGCUUUUUCUUCUCAGUCUGGAAAGUGUCUCCCUCUCUGCUUCUCCCUCUCUGCAAGACCUCCUGGCUCAUACAGUUCCGAUGCAGUGGAGCAUGGCGUCGUGAGAUGCUUAUUCUCGAAUUUAAAUGGAGUGAAACGAUAGCGAUCCUCUGCGAAAAUAAGAAUACCGUCCCAGUCAGGCUUGGACCACCUUCGAUGUCACCAGAAGGUGAAUUAAGAGGAUUUGGCAAUUCCACAGUCUGCUUCAGGACAUAUCUUCUCAGAUGCAGCUGUUUUGACUAGCUGAGUACUGCAUGGUUCUCUGCACAAGCACAUAUGCAUAGACAUACGUAUAGACACAGACGCAUGUACAACUUCCUUGCAUGCUGAAGCAAACUCCUCCCACAGUCUAUUCCUGGCGCACAUCUAAAUGGCUGUUUUAUACACAUUAACCCUGUGAAACGCUGUAGGACUUUGCUAUUCUC